rnacentral:rRNA from 1 species
CUUGUACUGGGGAAUAGCCUUUGGAAACGAAGAUUAAUGCCCCAUAGUAUCAUAUACUGGCAUCAGUUUUAUGAUUAAAGUUUCGGCGGUAUAAGAUGAGUAUGCGUUCUAUUAGUUAGUUGGUAAGGUAACGGCUUACCAAGACUUCGAUAGAUAGGGGUCCUGAGAGGGAGAUCCCCCACACUGGUACUGAGACACGGACCAGACUCCUACGGGAGGCAGCAGUGAGGAAUAUUGGACAAUGGAGGCAACUCUGAUCCAGCCAUGCCGCGUGUAGGAAGACUGCCCUAUGGGUUGUAAACUACUUUUAUAUGGGAAGAAUAAGGUCUACGUGUAGAUCGAUGACGGUACCAUAAGAAUAAGCACCGGCUAACUCCGUGCCAGCAGCCGCGGUAAUACGGAGGGUGCAAGCGUUAUCCGGAAUCAUUGGGUUUAAAGGGUCCGUAGGCGGGCUUGUAAGUCAGUGGUGAAAGUCUGUGGCUCAACCAUAGAAUUGCCAUUGAUACUGCAGGUCUUGAAUUAUUGUGAAGUGGUUAGAAUAUGUAGUGUAGCGGUGAAAUGCUUAGAUAUUACAUAGAAUACCGAUUGCGAAGGCAGAUCACUAACAAUAUAUUGACGCUGAGGGACGAAAGCGUAGGUAGCGAACAGGAUUAGAUACCCUGGUAGUCUACGCCGUAAACGAUGGAUACUAGCUGUUCGGAACUUGUUUCUGAGUGGCUAAGCGAAAGUGAUAAGUAUCCCACCUGGGGAGUACGUUCGCAAGAAUGAAACUCAAAGGAAUUGACGGGGGCCCGCACAAGCGGUGGAGCAUGUGGUUUAAUUCGAUGAUACGCGAGGAACCUUACCAGGGCUUAAAUGUAGAUUGACAGGUUUAGAGAUAGACUUUUCUUCGGACAAUUUACAAGGUGCUGCAUGGUUGUCGUCAGCUCGUGCCGUGAGGUGUCAGGUUAAGUCCUAUAACGAGCGCAACCCCUGUGGUUAGUUGCCAGCGAGUAAUGUCGGGAACUCUAGCCAGACUGCCGGUGCAAACCGUGAGGAAGGUGGGGAUGACGUCAAAUCAUCACGGCCCUUACGUCCUGGGCCACACACGUGCUACAAUGGUGGGGACAGAGAGCAGCCACUGGGCGACCAGGAGCGAAUCUAUAAACCCUAUC